rnacentral:sRNA from 1 species
GCUGGGUGGUGGUGCACACCUGUAAUCCCAGCUACUCAGGAGGCUGAGGCAGGAGGAUCACAAGUUUGAGACCAGCCUGAGCAACUUAGGGAGACCCUGUCUCAA